rnacentral:snoRNA from 2 species
GAGCAAGGACGCCUAAAAAAUGUGACGAAACUUGCAUUGAAGGUUGGCAAAAUCAAAACAGUUUCUGCGAUUCUCCGUGCCUAUCAAAUCUCUUAAUUUUGAAUAUGGCCUCGAACAAAUCGCAACAUA